rnacentral:tRNA from 1 species
GCAGGUGUAGUAUAAUGGUAGUACAUUAGCUUCCCAAGCUAAGGGCGAGGGUUCGAUUCCCUUCACCUGCU